rnacentral:rRNA from 1 species
AGCGAACGCUGGCGGCAGGCCUAACACAUGCAAGUCGAGCGGGCGUAGCAAUACGUCAGCGGCAGACGGGAGAGUAACACGUGGGAACGUGCCCUUUGGUUCGGAAUAACUCAGGGAAACUUGAGCUAAUACCGGAUAAGCCCUUCGGGGGAUAGAUUUAUUGCCAUUGGAGCGGCCCGCGUCGGAUUAGCUAGUUGGUGAGGUAAUGGCUCACCAAGGCGACGAUCCGUAGCUGGUCUGAGAGGAUGACCAGCCUCACUGGGACUGAGACACGGCCCAGACUCCUACGGGAGGCAGCAGUGGGGAAUAUUGGACAAUGGGCGCAAGCCUGAUCCAGCCAUGCCGCGUGGAUGAUGAAGGCCCUAGGGUUGUAAAGUCCUUUUACCAGGGACGAUAAUGACGGUACCUGGAGAAAAAGCCCCGGCUAACUUCGUGCCAGCCGCCGCCGUAAGAC